rnacentral:rRNA from 1 species
GAUUAACGCUGGCGGCGUGCAUAACACAUGCAAGUCGAACGAUGAAACUUAACUGAUUUCUUCGGAAUGAUUUUAAGUGGAUUAGUGGCGGACUGGUGAGUAACGCGUGAGUAACCUGCCUUGGAUAAGGGUAUAGCCUUUGGUAACGAAGAAUAAUACCCUCUGAUAUGAUAAUAUCUCAUGAUAUUAUCAUCACAGAUUUAUCGCUCUAAGAUGGACUUGCGUCUGAUUAGUUAGUUGGUGAGGUAACAGCUCACCAAGGCAGCGAUCAGUAGCCGGCUUGGGAGAGGGUACGGCCAAAUUGGGACGGAGACACGGCCCAGACCCCAACGGGAGGCAGAAGUGGGGAAUUUUGCAAAAUGGGGGAAGCCCUGAUGCAGCGACGCCGGGUGAUUUAGAAGGCCUUCGGGUUGUAAAAAUCUUUUGUAUGGGAAGAAAAUGACAGUACCAUACGAAUAAGGACCGGCUAAUUACGUG